CCAGAGCACAGCCCCAUCAUUCUGGGGACGCUGAGCUGGUGGGAUUGAACCAUGGCCUGGGCCCCUCUUCUCCUCGUGGUGCUCGCCCACAGCACAGGUUCCCUGGUCCAGGCAGCGCUGAGUCAGCCAUCCUCGCUGUCAGCCAACGUGGGAGACACGGUCAGGAUCACCUGCACUGGUAGCAGCUACAGCUAUGGCUGGUACCAGCAGAAGGUCCCUGGCACUGGCCCUGUCACUGUGAUCUACUACAAUGACAGGAGACCCUCGGGCAUCCCUUCGCGAUUCUCCGGAUCCAAGUCCGGCUCCUCAGCCACAUUAACCAUCACUGGGGUCCAAGCCGAGGACGAGGCUGUCUAUUUCUGUGGUAGCUAUGACAGCAGCAGUACUGCUGGUGUAUUCGGGGAAGGGACGAUGUUGACGGUCCUAGGUCAGCCCAAGACCUCUCCCACCGUCCACCUCUUCGCGCCAUCCUCCCAGGAGUUGUCGUCAACGGGCAAAGCCACCCUGGUGUGUCUGAUGGAGAACUUCUACCCCAGCCCUGUGUCGGUGCAAUGGGUGGCUGAUGGCAACACCAUCAGCACUGGUGUGGAGACCAGCCAGCCCCAGCGGCAGAGCAACAACCAGUACAUGGCCAGCAGCUACCUGUCCAUGGAUGCCAGCAAGUGGCAGAGUUACAAUUCUGUCUCGUGCAAGGUCAGGCACGAGGCUGGAAAUGUGGAGAAGACCGUGAACAGAUCCGAGUGCUUCUAACCCACCCCGCCGGCCCUUUGCUGGCUCCCUCCCUCCUCCCCACUUCUGGGAACAGCGGCUCCCCCCGCCGCAGAUGUCUCUGCCCAUAUCCCCCGCGCCUGUCCCCCCUUCUGAGUGUCACACAAAUAAACACCGACACUGAACUAGUGCUGGC